AAAUCAGUUAAAGAUGAAUUGCAAACAAAGAAGGAUGAGUACACAACUAUUUGUGAUGAUCUUCAGUUGCAACUAGAACAGCCAGUGCGUUUCGCAAAAAGAGCGAAGCAACCAUUGCAAGCAAAGAGGAGACGAUAGCGAAAUUAAAUGGAGAACUUGAAAAACUUGGUCACAUUACACAAAUGAUCCAUAAGUUGACUGGAGCGGACAAGUAGUACUUCUCAAUAAUUAAUGGCUGCAGUUGCAAUUUUCAUUUGGAUGAGCCACCCGGUGGUAGCAGCAGUGGGGCUGGUACUUGUGACACUUUAUUGUUUCCAUCCAAAACAGUGAUUCCAUAAAAGCAGUAUAAUUUUGCAAUACUUUGAUACUACAUGUUCUUUAUGUUGUAUCAUAGUUUCAACAAAAUGAGAUGUAAUCAGAAUUAUGAGUCAAGAGUAUACUAUUGUAUCUCAUCUGCAAUCCAUUAAUGUAAUUGCAACAUUUUAUGACAUUAAUUGUAAAUAUUUUAUUGGGAAAUUCGAAACAGCAAAUGUAUGAAGUACCAUAUUGUGUCAUAAUAAUAUAAAUUCAUAUCUUUACAAAUUUUUUUUGCUGUACUUGGAUGAAAUUUGUAAGCUACAGUGACUGUACUGUACUGUAUUUGUUGACUACUGUAAUUAUUUUUUUUGUUUUGUUUUUAUUUAGAAAAUAUUUUCAGCGUUACCCUCUUAUCUCUGAAGAGCUGAUCGUAAUACAGUAGUUGAAUUUUGUAUAUUGUAUGGUCUGUUGUAGAAGUAUGAAAAAAAUUCUCUCAUAUUUAAGAUAGAACAUUGAAUCAGUGAUUUUUACAGAUUUUCACUACAAAAUUGAAGUAUUAUUAUUUAUGCAUCUGUUAUGCUCUCCACAGUAUCCAAUUUUCUUUGACAAAAAAUCUGUUGUAUGCCCAUAUACAUAGUCAUGUUGUGCCUAUAUAUGGUCAUGAUGUGAUGUCAUCAUGACCAUAUUUAGGCAUGUCACAUGUUUUUGUCAAAUAAAAUUUGAUAGUAAUAUAUUUUCCUAUUCUAGUUUACAAUCGAAAAAUGAGAAAUAUAAGAAAUUCAGUAUUUUAAUUUGUUAUUCUAGUUUUUUAAUGUACUCUAAAUUUUUUUAUUAAGUGUUUUUGUGAUAGUGAUUUGGCACACAAAAUACAACAUUAAUUGUUAAUAAUAAUGGAAUCAAAUUUUGUUAAUUUAUAUGAUUUACCUGAUUACGUCAAUGUACAGCGCAAACAUGGAUGUACAGUGCCUGGUAAUGGCUGGUCACAGUUGACCAGGCACCAUGCCUCUCGAUCAAGCAUGAAAUGAAGUGAUACCACUGCACAAUAUGCUUUAAUAAGGAUUCAGAAUGCCUUCAGUCUGUUCCGAUAUUGAAUAUAAUUUGAUAUUUACUUAUUAUUAUACACUUUAAUUUAAAAACCAUAUCAUCUGGUUUGUUGGUCGCUACUAGCUUGAGAGUCAUUGCUACAGUAUCCAUGAUAUUUAAUUCACAGAAGGUAAAAUACCUAUGAAGAGGGCAGUAGCAUAUCUAGGGGUGUGCCGGGAAGCACUCCUCUAAAAAAAUAUACAUGUGGGCCCCCAUUUUUUCCCCAAAAAAAUCACAUGCAAAAGUUGUUAAAAUCACCUCAAUAACCUUAUUUUGCGAGCUAACACCCUCACCUAAUCAUUGAGUCUUCAAAUUCGUUUUUUUUUGUAUAGAAUGAAUAUAUUAUUUAUUACUUUUGUUUGUUGCUCAUCAAUUUAAUUUUUACUUGUAAUCUAAAUAUAAAAUUUUUUCCAUUUUCUGUAAUUUCUUUACAAAGAACUGAAAUUACAUCUGAUGGUUUUCAUUCUUGUAUCUAACUCAUAACUCAGUCAUCUACUUAAAACUUUAUUAUACAUGUACGUAGCAAUUUGAUUAUUUUGACGAUGCUUGAUAUUAUAUUUAUUUAAAAAAUCAAAGCGUGAAGUCUUGCUAAUAAAUAUCUUAAUGCCAGAAAGGUA